rnacentral:tmRNA from 2 species
AAUUUAACGAAACAUUGUAUAUAAUAAAGGAGUCGGAGCAAUCCGGCUGUGACACCAGAGGCACUAUGAAAUAGGCUACUUGGACCUGGGGGCAGUACCCAGCACCUCCACCAAUAUCAACCGUUUUCGGGGGUGAAACAGGAUUGACAGGUUGCAGUAAAGGUAGAUUUGCCGUGUCCGGUGAGAUACCACCGUUAUCGGUUCAAAAUAAAUGAAUGCUAACGAUAAUAACGUAGCACCUGUUGCUCUCGCUGCUUAAUGUAGCUGCAACGAAUCAAAAUCCUUGGCGCUUUGGUUAGCGUCAAGUGGGGAAGGAGCCGCCCAGCAACAGAACGGCU